rnacentral:rRNA from 1 species
AUGAAUUACCUGACAAAGUAUGCAUUUCCAAGAGAACAUGAGCUUCCUUCUCUGGCUUUCUGUGUGGAAAUUGCAGGAGUUGAUUAUUUUGUUAGUCUUGUGACCUUUUGGUCAACCUGUAUCUCAACCUGGAAGGGGCAGACAAUAUCUGGUCAACAAUGGAGAAGACUGGCUGUGCUCCAACUCUCAGUUGCAAAAAAAUAUAUGGUCAGGGUGUUACUGGAGAAAGGUGAAGUAAUCAGGGCCGGAGGUUAUCUUUCUAAAAUUGAUGAGAAGAAUUUAGUACUUGAAGCUUCAACCGUUGAGCUGCAGUCGAUGAUCUCUCUCUCUCUUCCAAAGGACAGAGACAUGCCAGAAAAUAUAGUAUUUCUUUUCCUCUGGACGUUCAAGGAUGCUGUAAUAAUCUGUGCCGGACCUGAGGUUCUCAUCUGA